rnacentral:rRNA from 1 species
GACGGAGGAUGCAAGUGUUAUCCGGAAUUACUGGGCGUAAAGCGUCUGUAGGUGGUUUAAUAAGUCAACUGUUAAAUCUUGAGGCUUAACUUCAAAACAGCAGUCGAAACUAUUAGACUAGAGUAUAGUAGGGGUAAAGGGAAUUUCCAGUGGAGCGGUGAAAUGCGUAGAUAUUGGAAAGAACACCGAUGGCGAAAGCACUUUACUGGGCUAUUACUAACACUCAGAGACGAAAGCUAGGGUAGCAAAUGGGAUUAGAUACCCCAGUAGUCCUAGCUGUAAACAAUGGAUACUAGAUGUUGAACAGAUCGACCUGUGCAGUAUUAAAGCUAACGCGUUAAGUAUCCCGCCUGGGAAGUAUGCUCGCAAGAGUGAAACUCAAAGGAAUUGACGG